rnacentral:rRNA from 1 species
AUUGAACGCUGGCGGCAGGCCUAACACAUGCAAGUCGAGCGGAGCGGCGGACGGGUGAGUAAUGCCUAGGAAUCUGCCUGGUAGUGGGGGAUAACGUCCGGAAACGGGCGCUAAUACAGCAUACUAUCAGAUGAGGCGAGGUCGGAGUAGCUAGGUGGUGGGGUAAAGGCCUACCAAGGCGACGCUCCGUAACUGGGCUGAGCGGAUGAUCAGUCACACGGGAACUGAGACACGGUCCAGACUCCUACGGGAGGCAGCAGUGGGGAAUAUUGGACAAUGGGCGAAAGCCUGAUCCAGCCAUGCCGCGUGUGUGAAGAAGGUCUUCGGAUUGUAAAGCACUUUAAGUUGGGAGGCGUUACCAACAGAAUAAGCACCGGCUAACUUCGUGCCAACAGCCGCGGUAAUUC